rnacentral:rRNA from 1 species
AUGCAGAUCUUCGUCAAGACUUUGACCGGCAAGACCAUCACACUGGAGGUGGAAUCGUCGGACACCAUCGACAACGUUAAGGCCAAGAUCCAGGAUAAGGAGGGCAUCCCCCCGGACCAGCAGCGUCUCAUCUUCACCGGCAAGCAGCUCGAGGAUGGCCGCGCCCUCGCUGACUACAACACCCAGAAGGAGUCAACCCUCCACCUCGUUCUCCGCCUCCGCGGUGGUCUGUGA